CCUACGGGAGGCAGCAGUGAGGAAUAUUGGUCAAUGGGCGAGAGCCUGAACCAGCCAAGUCGCGUGAAGGAUGAAGGAUCUAUGGUUUGUAAACUUCUUUUAUAAAGGAAUAAAGUGAGGCACGUGUGCCUUUUUGUAUGUACUUUAUGAAUAAGGAUCGGCUAACUCCGUGCCAGCAGCCGCGGUAAUACGGAGGAUCCGAGCGUUAUCCGGAUUUAUUGGGUUUAAAGGGAGCGUAGAUGGGUUGUUAAGUCAGUUGUGAAAGUUUGCGGCUCAACCGUAAAAUUGCAAUUGAUACUGGCAGCCUUGAGUACAGUUGAGGUAGGCGGAAUUCGUGGUGUAGCGGUGAAAUGCUUAGAUAUCACGAAGAACUCCGAUUGCGAAGGCAGCUUACUAAACUGCCACUGACAUUGAUGCUCGAAAGUGUGGGUAUCAAACAGGAUUAGAUACCCGAGUAGUC
rnacentral:rRNA from 1 species